AUUUUCACUCUUGCACACCCUUCUCUCACAAUUCAUAGGAAAGAGAGAAUGAUCGCGAAUGGAAUCGAAGACGAGGACAAUUGGUUGACCGAAGGCAUCGCAAGGAUUCAACACAAUUGCUUUCUAUAUGCAUCGCGCACUGGACUCCAACAAUCUCAGAGAAGCCCUAUAAUAUUCGGUGCAAAUGUUGUCUGAGCUCUGAACAUCUAGACUAUCUCCACAAAAGCACUUUGAGCUCUGUAUAUAUAGCCUUUAAUCAUCGUCGACGAUUGAUUUUUUUUUUUUGUUUUCUAUAUCGAAAUUCAAUUGAUUAUUUGUUUACUAUUGUGAUGUGCCAGAUAUGUAAGCCUUUGAUGAAUUGAGAAGACUUGAAAUCUUCUUUAAAGAGGAAGAUAAACAUGGUUGUACGGUCUCUGACCUCUAUGAACUCGUCCAGCAUGCUGGAAACAUUUUACCCAGAUUAUCAGAAAAAUAAAUUAGAAGCAGAAAACCAAGGGCUGCUUCUGAAUUUUGGUUCACAGCUUGAUUAGAGCUUAAAAGACUUGCACAAGACCAUCUUGGGGUCAGUUUGUCAACAGCAGCAACAAUUGAGAUGCAUGGAGGAACACGUCUCUUCAUUUCUUGCUAGUAAAUAUGACGCCACUCAGAUACUGGAAUCUAGGAUCUGUGAGCCCGAGAUUGC